GCCUGGCUGGCCCAGUUAGUAUAGCAUGUGACUCUUGAUCUCAAGGUCAUGGGUUCAAGGCCCAAGUUGGGUA
rnacentral:tRNA from 1 species